rnacentral:snRNA from 1 species
UCGCUCAGGUCUCCCAGCACCGACAAAUAUGCGUUUCUCCUUUUACUAAACGCAUCCGUGCUGGGCGACACUUACAAUGAGCCUAAAUGGCAAUUUUAGUAAAUAUUA